AGACAAAAACUAACAGAACUCAGCCUGUCUGCCUAUCGACAUCAUCUCAUCCAUAGCACCAAUGUGGGAUGACAGAGAGUGCAACUCAAAUUUUAGUCUUGACUUUGGAGCAGUCUCAUAGCUACAGCAUAAGGGAUGGGGGCUGGUGAACUGAGAGAAGCAAGAGCCAUCCAUGGAAGGCUCAGAACAGGCUCUGCCUGUAUGUUUGCUGAACAGUAUUGUUUGUUUAUGUAGUGGAUUACAUUGAUGGAUUU